rnacentral:misc_RNA from 1 species
GAUAAAGAACGUAGCGAAAUGCGAUACGUAAUGUGAAUUGCAGAAUUCAGUGAAUCAUCGAGUCUUUGAACGCACAUUGCGCCCCCUGGUAUUCCGGGGGGCAUGCCUGUCCGAGCGUCAUUGCUGCCCUCAAGCACGGCUUGUGUGUUGGGCCUCCGUCCUCCUCCCGGGGGACGGGCCCGAAAGGCAGCGGCGGCACCGCGUCCGGUCCUCGAGCGUAUGGGGCUUCGUCACCCGCUCUUGUAGGCCCGGCCGGCGCUUGCCGACACAUCAAUCUUUUUUCCAGGUUGACCUCGGAUCAGGUAGGGAUACCCGCUGAACUUAAGCAUAUCAAUAAGCGGAGGA